rnacentral:antisense_RNA from 1 species
UUCAAUGGUGGGCUGGACGGGGGCGUCGCAAGACGCACCGGUGUCCAUUAAGGCCGGUAAUGCCAACUCCGUUCAGUCCUGCCACCCGG